rnacentral:rRNA from 1 species
AACGAACGCUGGCGGCAUGCCUAACACAUGCAAGUCGAACGAGACCUUCGGGUCUAGUGGCGCACGGGUGCGUAACGCGUGGGAAUCUGCCCUUAGGUUCGGAAUAACUCAGGGAAACUUGAGCUAAUACCGGAUAAUGACGUAAGUCCAAAGAUUUAUCGCCUAGGGAUGAGCCCGCGUAGGAUUAGCUUGUUGGGUGGGGUAAAAGCCUACCAAGGCGACGAUCCUUAGCUGGUCNGAGAGGAUGAUCAGCCACACUGGGACUGAGACACGGCCCAGACUCCUACGGGAGGCAGCAGUGGGGAAUAUUGGACAAUGGGCGAAAGCCUGAUCCAGCAAUGCCGCGUGAGUGAUGAAGG